AUAUGAUUUGUAUAUAUAUAUGCAUGUUUCAGAAUUUGGAUAAUCGGAAUUGCAACUAAAGGAUUACUAUAAAGACAAGUUGUCAUUCUCCACUUCAUACAAAUGAUAGAAUUACUCUUAUAUUUACAGAUCUUGUAUUUACAGAUACUGCAAGCUUUCAGACGGUGCCUGACAGAUGUAUUGGACAUAGAGGGACCUUGUCAAGACAAAAUCUGCAAAAUGACGAUAUUUAGAAGUGGAUCAGUGUUUAAUUAUGAUAGUUGGAUAGUAGAGUAUGUGACCAUAGAGGACUAUAAGAACCCUCCUAUCAGAUUUGACUUCAAACCUAAGGAUAUUAUUAUUCCUGAUGAUGGUUAUGGAUAUGGCCUCGACUAUUGUCCUAAAGAUUAGGUUAAUUAAAUUAGUGUGUUAUCCUGCGUCGCAAAUAUAUAAAUUACUAUUUUCAAAAUA